rnacentral:lncRNA from 1 species
GACUUAAGCUCAACAAUCAUCUUGUACGAAUUCCACUCGCCAAGUUGGAAUUUACACUCAUUUCUCACUUUCCAGAUACUCCAAAUAACUCCAGACCACACACUAAGUAGGAAACGUUUUUCUUUCUUACAACCAAGAUUGAUGAAGGCGUUAAAGUGGUUUUUUACCUUGCACGGCAGAACCGUUUGCUUGCCAAGCCAAGCCACGACCUCGCUCCACAGUUGAUAUACCUUAUCACAGCUCAAAAACAGGUGGUCUGCCGUCUCGAUCGUCGCCUUGCAGAAAACACAUAAAGCCUCCUGAUGUUGGAUGUUCACCUUCCUUUUCAAAAGAUUUUCACACGUAGCCAUUCGUCCUCUAAUAGCUUUCCACGCUGUAGUGAUCACUUUUGGUGGUGCCGGGGCUUUCCAGAUGAUAGCAAGUUCCAGAUCACUCCCCCUGAUAGAAUUUCGGCCAUCCGCUGCACUUAUAGUUUUGUAGGCGGAUUUGACUGUAAAUGAGUCAUCUUUUGAGGCCUUCCAUCUCCAUUUAUCAGCUUUCCCCUCACAAAUUCGGACGUGUUUGAUAAUAUUGACUAGACGCUGCACCUGCUCCUUCUCUCUUCUAAAGCUCCCGGUUCCAACUGAAACUCCACACCCACUCUCCCUCCUUCCACUCCCCCAUGCUCGAGAUUGAUCCAUUCUGGUUGCUGCUAAGACGAUAGAGUCUUGGGAAUUGAUCGGAGAGUCUACUUUCUCCAAUCCACAGGUGGUUCCAAAAGAUAAAGCCUGCCCCGUCUCCAACUUGAAUUUCCAUAUUCUCCCUGAGCCAUUUCCCGUUCGGGCCCCAGCUCAAACUAAGAACCUUUCUCCACCACCCAGUUUUAGAAUCGACACUCCCCUCCAUACGAAAACCCCCGUCAUCCCAACAGAUUUCCCCAUGGUUACUCCUAAUCACUCGCGCCCAAAGUGACUCUUUUUCCAUUAGAAACCGCCAAAGCCAUUUAGCCAAAAGUGCCGAAUUGAACCAUCCCAAAUUUUUAAGACCAAGUCCCCCUUCCCCGUGCUCCCAACACAGGUCCUCCCAUUUGACCCAACAAAUCUUCUUAGUCGCUUCUCCUCCCCCCCAAAGAAACUUGCACAUCAGCGAUCUAAUUGCUGUUAACACAUUUUUUCGNCUGCUCCUUCUCUCUUUCUAAAAGCUCCCGGUUCCAACUGAAACUCCACUCCCCCAUGCUCGAGAUUGAUCCAUUCUGGUUGCUGCUAAGACGAUAGAGUCUUGGGAAUUGAUCGGAGAGUCUACUUUCUCCAAUCCACAGGUGGUUCCAAAAGAUAAAGCCUGCCCCGUCUCCAACUUGAAUUUCCAUAUUCUCCCUGAGCCAUUUCCCGUUCGGGCCCCAGCUCAAACUAAGAACCUUUCUCCACCACCCAGUUUUAGAAUCGACACUCCCCUCCAUACGAAAACCCCCGUCAUCCCAACAGAUUUCCCCAUGGUUACUCCUAAUCACUCGCGCCCAAAGUGACUCUUUUU